rnacentral:sRNA from 1 species
GCCAAGUAUGGUGGUGCAUAUUUGUAAUCCCAGAGGCUUGGGAGGCUGAGGCAGGAGGAUUGCAAGUUCAAAGCCAGCAUCAGCUAUUUUGGGAGGCCCUAUGCAACCCAGAAAGACCCUGUUUUUU